rnacentral:rRNA from 1 species
GCGAGAAUCUUUCGCAAUGGGCGAAAGCCUGACGAAGCGACGCCGUGUGAAUGAAGAAGGCCUUCGGGUUGUAAAGUUCUUUCGCUAGGGAACAAGAGAAGGUAGUGAAUAACUGCCUAAUUUGAGCGUACCUGGUAAAGAAGCACCGGCUAACUCCGUGCCAGCAGCUGCGGUAAUACGGAGGGUGCAAGCAUUAAUCGGAAUUAUUGGGCGUAAAGGGCGCGUAGGCGGAUUUGUAAGUCAGAUGUGA